UGAAUAUUGCAUGGGUGUGGCCCAGGAUCAAAAUAUGCCACGAAGGAACUCGAGAACUGAAGAUACCAUAAUCUAACGUCUCGCUGGAUCAUCAAUCACAGCAGCAGAUAAAUCACCUAUAAAAAUGAGCCCAGGCGUGUCGUUUUGACUGUGAUGCCAAACUCAGGCUGUUUUACAAAGGGCUGAAAUGAGUGAAACUGUGGUCAGUUUUGGAUGGGACGGUAUUGACCUGAAUACAGAAUGGACAUAGAGUGUCUGUUUUGUUGAGUUCUAUCAUAACAAGAAGCAACAAUGGUUCAUCUAGACAGAUCACUUAAUUUUGGCCAAAAUCUCAGACUGAACUUAUAAGCUUCCGUCUGGAGGACUGAAAGACAUGAAGUUUAUGGAACUGUGGACUAUGAACUGGAUGGAAGCAUAUUGUGAGCAUAUUAGUUGUGCUGCAAGGGUUGGGAUUGGCCAGUAAAUGAAAUAUUCUUGACAAUGGGCUGCUUCCUGCUUUUAUAACCUGCUAUGCUGCAUGUUCUAAUAAGUAUGAAAAUGCAGAAACACUGUACAGAUUAUUAAUUUAAAAUAACAAAAGAGGGAAAAACACAGGAUGUUUUACAACCCAACAGCGGAUUGACGUCUCACUUGUAAAUAAAUCGAUUAGGUUUU